rnacentral:misc_RNA from 1 species
AAGCUCUGCUAUCUCGCGUCUCAGCGCGAGCUUCUCCGCGAAAUUCCGGGUGACGUCGCGUAGAACGGCAACCGUUCCGUCAGGCAGACCGCGUUCGUCGCGUAGCAUCACGAUCGUAAAUUCAACGGAGAUGCGCUGACCGCUUUUGGUUAGUGCCGGAACCGAGAGCAGAUCGCCAGUGCCAUAGCGGCUUACGCCGGUCUCCAUCGUGUGCCGAUAACCGGCCCAGUGGCGCGCUCUGAGAUUCUCGGGGAUGAUGAAAUCGAGCGGCUGCCGCAUUGCUU